rfam:Schistosoma mattheei strain Denwood, Zambia genome assembly, scaffold: SMTD_scaffold0000375
AUCCAGAUGACGUGUCCCAAAUAGGAUGAAACGCACGUCCUAGAU